GAUGAACGCUAGCGGCAGGCUUAACACAUGCAAGUCGAGGGGUAUAGUAGCAAUACUAGAGACCGGCGCACGGGUGCGUAACGCGUAUGCAACCUACCUUUUACAGAGGGAUAGCCCAGAGAAAUUUGGAUUAAUACCUCAUAGUGUUAUUAGAUGGCAUCAUUUGAUAACUAAAGUUCCAACGGUAAAAGAUGGGCAUGCGUCCUAUUAGCUAGAUGGUAAGGUAACGGCUUACCAUGGCUACGAUAGGUAGGGGUCCUGAGAGGGAGAUCCCCCACACUGGUACUGAGACACGGACCAGACUCCUACGGGAGGCAGCAGUGAGGAAUAUUGGACAAUGGGCGCAAGCCUGAUCCAGCCAUGCCGCGUGCAGGAAGAAGCAUCUAUGGUGUGUAAACUGCUUUUGUACGGGAAGAAACACUCCUACGUGUAGGAGCUUGACGGUACCGUAAGAAUAAGGAUCGGCUAAACUCCGUGCCAGCAGCCGCGGUAAU
rnacentral:rRNA from 1 species